AUUGAACGCUGGCGGCAGGCCUAACACAUGCAAGUCGAGCGGAGCGGCGGAGGGGUGAGUGAUACUUAGGAAUCUGCCUGGUAGCGGGGGAUAACGGUCGGAAACGGACGCUAAUACCGCAUACUAUCAGAUGAGCCUCGGCCGGAUUAGAUAGUUGGUGAGGGAAUGGCUCACAAAGGCUACGAUCCGUAACUGGUCUGAGAGGAUGAUCAGUCACACUGGAACUGAGACACGGUCCAGACUCCUACGGGAGGCAGCAGUGGGGAAUAUUGGACAAUGGGCGAAAGCCGGAUGCAGCCAUGCCGCGUGUGUGAAGAAGGUCUUCGGAUUGUAAAGUACUUUAAGUUGGGAGGCGUUACCGACAGAAUAAGCACCGGCUAACUCCGUGCCAGCAGCCGCGGUAAUUC
rnacentral:rRNA from 1 species